CGCGUUCCUCCUUUCCUCGCGCGCGCGGUCGGCGUGAUUCGGCUUGGCGGUUUUCGCGAGCGCGGGGCUCGGCCAGCGCGGAAGACGCGGCGAUCUCGACGGCGCUCACGAUGCGGAUUUGACCCGGUUCUCGAGUAGAAGCGAAGGAGAAAGGGAAAGAGGCAUCGACAGGAAUCCACGCCGAAAAAUGUUGGUUAAAUAAUCUGACGCACGAGGGAAUUGCCAGGUGACACAGCAAACUCUCGACGAUUACUAUGGGGGCAUUUUUGGAUACACCGAAGACCGACAAGUACAACGAACAUGGUUCUGGUAACGGAUUGCGGUACGGGGUGGCUAGCAUGCAAGGAUGGAGGAUGGAGAUGGAGGAUGCUCAUAGAGCGAUAACAGGGUUGGAAGGUGGACUGUCGGAUUGGAGUUACUUCGCUGUCUUCGAUGGUCACGCCGGAGCGAGAGUGUCGGCACAUAGCGCCGAACACCUGCUCGAGUCUAUUAUGCAGACUAAAGAGUUUAAGGCAGAGGAUGUGAUAAAUGGAAUCCAUUACGGGUUUUUAAGGCUGGAUGAUGAGAUGAGAGACCUGCCCGAAAUGAGCGCUGGCACGGACAAGUCCGGUUCUACCGCGGUUUGUGCGUUCAUAUCUCCUAAACAGAUUUACAUUGCGAACUGCGGCGACUCCCGGGCUGUCCUGUGUCGUUCCGGAAACCCGAUCUUUUCGACCAGAGAUCAUAAACCGAUCUUGCCUGCUGAAAAGGAAAGGAUUCAAAAUGCAGGGGGUAGUGUGAUGAUUCAACGGGUGAACGGGUCGUUGGCUGUUUCACGAGCGCUAGGAGAUUAUGAGUACAAAAACGUCGAAGGCCGAGGGCCCUGCGAACAACUGGUCUCUCCAGAACCGGAAAUAUUCUUACGGGACAGAGAUGACGAACACGAUGAGUUCUUAGUUUUGGCAUGCGACGGGAUUUGGGACGUUAUGACCAACGAAGAUCUCUGUCAUUUUAUACAUUCGAGGCUGUUGCUGACCGACGACUUAGAAGUGGUUACCAACCAAGUUAUAGAUACUUGUUUAUAUAAGGGAAGCAGAGAUAAUAUGAGCAUCGUAUUGGUUACAUUUCCCGGAGCUCCAAAACCGAGUCCAGAGGCCCAGAAGAAGGAAGCCGAAUUAGAAAUGGCAAUCGAGAGGAGGAUUAAAGAAAUUGUAGCGCAGCAAGAGAACAAAGACAGCUUCGACUUUCUGCAACUGCUUCAGCUUCUUAUGGAUCAGGAGUUGCCCAAUUUGCCACCUGGAGGUGGUCUUUCAGCUAAGCAACCAUUCAUCGAGAAGGUGUUUCGGGACGUUUGUCCCAGCGCAGCGGACAGCAUCAGUGAAGCUGCACUGAGGAAAGCGGCGAUCGUCGCAUCCGUUAUCGAUGCGCUUAGGUUGCAUUCUAAUCGAAUGCACGGCGCGCAAGCUUGAUCGAUCGUUGAAAGAGAGAGAGAGAGAGAGAGAGAGAGAGAGAGAGAGAGAGAGAGAACCCCGGAACGUCGAGUUUACUCAACAAGAACUCGAUGUCCAGUUAAUGCGUGUGUACGAAUACGAACUCGAGUUGGAUUCGCACCAGAGAACGACGGCUGGAGAAAGCCUGAGAAGAAAAAGAUAAAGUGGUAAGCUCUUCCCUCAUUCUCUUGCGAGAGGCACCGGAGUUCCAUCUCGCAUCCACGAGCUCGAUUCGGCAAGAUCAUCCCUUAUGUCUUUGGUCAAUGCUGUAACAAGGUAACUGGACCGUAAUUAAAUGAUAAGCACGACUAGUGGACCUACUGUAAAGGAGGUAUAAGUGAUAUCCGAUAUACCGGUUUACCGGUCAGAGAAGGCGACCGAUUUUAAUAGUGUCAGGCACAGUUCCAAGGUAUUGCUGGUCGUGUAUAGACACUCGUAUUUAUGUAUACGUACUUAUGUUUACAUGCGUAUAAAUGUGUAUAUUUACAUGGCCGUUCCUCGGCUUACCUUGCUCGCCGAGAAUUUCGUUACCUUCGGUUAUGUAAUGGAGUGGUCGCCUCCUGUACGCGCAGGCACGGACGCAUGUGUACAUGGCAAUGGAACCUUAAAUUGCUCGAGCCAAUGCACGGUUCCAAGUGCAAGCAAGAAAUUGUAAAGUGAUCCUCGAACUAAAGUGGACCUCGACGUUGGCCGCCAGAACGGAUUUCGAUAUUGACGGAACAGGUGUACUAAAUACAUCCGAGAUCGAAGCUAUGCCGCAAUGCCGUCUAGGUCAUACGUUAUUUCGUGGCACUGAACCUUGAGAAAUAAAUUAUUUCAAUUAGACAAUGUUAUCCGUACGUGUUGCGAAAACUACCAUAUCGUGCCCUUAUCGGAUAGUAACAUCUAAUUUUACGGUGUCGAGCUCUCUGUGUUUGUCCCUCGUCUACUUGGCGUUAUGUACUGAAACAAAAAAAUCAGGUCUAAUCGGGAAGAUAAUGCGUUCCCUUACAGUCGGAAUACAUUUUAUUGCAAUACGUAAUAAUUUGUAAUUAAAAAAAAAAGUGAGCGCAUCCUAGAUUUGAGAUAUCACAUUGAAAACUUUGUCCGAUAAAACAUAGCCGGUUUCUAUUUUGCGGCUGCUAAAACGUCAUCUUGCCAAAUUUGAUUUGAAAUCCCCAUGGAAGAUAAUGCGUGCGUUCACGUGCAGUAUAAAAAAAUACGAGCGGUAGACUGCUUCUAAGGUAAUAUCGCGUUAUGUACAAUUUUGUGCCGAUUCGCGGAUAAAAAGGAACGACGGUUGUCAAGCGAUCACUCGUUAGUUCGCUUGGAUUACUUUACCAAUUUACCGUAGAUCAUUUGUCCGUACUCGAAAUUAAUUUUUACCUCGUCCUCGAAGGUGUGACAUUUUUCGUUUAGAUGUCGACAUAACAACGCUAUAAUUCCUUCGUUUACCGUUCUUUGUACAGUGUGUCCAGCAUUAGAAACGUAGAAUCUCCUCGAUGCGGAUACAUUUCUCCUUCACUCAUUUAUGAAAUAAAUAUCUAAUCUAGCAAACGAACAACCCUAUGACGUUGAUCGCCCUAAACGGUGUCUAAAUUCUUGUCUCGGGUACUUGUAAAAACUUAACUCGGCACAGUUUAUGCAACCGUACAAAAAUAACUUGAACUUGAUCUAAGUCGACGUAUGUGAACGCCUUUUCAAUGUACACACUAAUUUAUCGGUAGAUACAUCCUUCGCACGUGCGGAGGCUCGUUGCGCAAUCGUGAGUACCUCAUUAUAUACAAUGUUGGUCGAACACUGAAUUAAUAUCCUAAAUUACAACGCAAUGGGUCAUGCGAAGACACAGAGAAAGCUUAACCAGUUUUCUUACAAAUCCUUUAAAAAUUCGACAUUUUUUAUAAAUAUGCGAUCUGAAACGUCAAUAACGUGUUCUACGGAGGCGUCCCCUUGCACGGGAGCUAUUUAACAAGAGCACAGAGAGUUUACGGGUAAAUUCUCCUAUCGUCGAUUAUAUUGUCAAGUAUCAAAUCUAUAAAUUAUCCGACUGCCAGUACAAAAUACAUUAAAGCUCGGUGUACGUCGUGAGACACCGGAAUCACAUAAACGCUCGUUAUGUUUCUAAGAGAUUGAGUUAGUGUGCCAAAGACUUAGCGAUAAGAGAAACAAACGAAUUAACUCGAAUAGUCUUUAAGUAAUGAAUCUAUUGCAGCGUGACCGAUUGCACGUUGUUUCUUGACAUAAGAAAAGUGAGUUCUUUCUAAAGAAUUAGACCUCAGGGUGAAAAUCGACAAUGUAUUGCCGAAUAAAAAGAACGAAUGUAUCCUUAGAA
rnacentral:misc_RNA from 1 species